UACAGAGGGGGCAAGCGGUUGUUCGGAAUUACUGGGCGUAAAGGGCGCGUAGGCGGCCCGCUAAGUCGAACGUGAAAUCCCCGAGCUCAACUCGGGAACGUCGCGUCCGAUACUGGCGGGCUUGAAUCCGGGAGAGGGAUGCGGAAUUCCAGGUGUAGCGGUGAAAUGCUUAGAUAUGACAUAGAACACCAAUUGCGAAGGCAGCUUGCUACAGGGAUAUUGACACUGAGGCACGAAAGCGUGGGGAUCAAACAGG
rnacentral:rRNA from 1 species